rnacentral:rRNA from 1 species
AGUGAACGCUGGCGGUAGGCCUAACACAUGCAAGUCGAACGGCAGCACAGUAAGAGCUUGCUCUUACGGGUGGCGAGUGGCGGACGGGUGAGGAAUACAUCGGAAUCUACUUUUUCGUGGGGGAUAACGUAGGGAAACUUACGCUAAUACCGCAUACGACCUACGGGUGAAAGCAGGGGAUCUUCGGACCUUGCGCGAUUGAAUUAGCCGAUGUCGGAUUAGCUAGUUGGCGGGGUAAAGGCCCACCAAGGCGACGAUCCGUAGCUGGUCUGAGAGGAUGAUCAGCCACACUGGAACUGAGACACGGUCCAGACUCCUACGGGAGGCAGCAGUGGGGAAUAUUGGACAAUGGGCGCAAGCCUGAUCCAGCCAUACCGCGUGGGUGAAGAAGGCCUUCGGGUUGUAAAGACCUUUUGUUGGGAAAGAAAAGCAGCAGGUUAAUACCCCGCUGUUCUGACGGUACCCAAAGAAUAAGCACCGGCUAACUUCGUG